GGAGGAAAAGAAACCAACAGGGAUUGCCUUAGUAGCGGCGAGUGAAGCGGCAAAAGCUCAAAUUUGAAAUCUGGCUCUUUCAGAGUCCGAGUUGUAAUUUGAAGAAGGUAUCUUUGGGUCUGGCUCUUGUCUAUGUUUCUUGGAACAGAACGUCACAGAGGGUGAGAAUCCCGUGCGAUGAGAUGAUCCAGGCCUAUGUAAAGUUCCUUCGAAGAGUCGAGUUGUUUGGGAAUGCAGCUCUAAGUGGGUGGUAAAUUCCAUCUAAAGCUAAAUAUUGGCGAGAGACCGAUAGCGAACAAGUACAGUGAUGGAAAGAUGAAAAGAACUUUGAAAAGAGAGUGAAAAAGUACGUGAAAUUGUUGAAAGGGAAGGGCUUGAGAUCAGACUUGGUAUUUUGUAUGUUACUUCUUCGGGGGUGGCCUCUACAGUUUAUCGGGCCAGCAUCAGUUUGGGCGGUAGGAGAAUUGCGUUGGAAUGUGGCACGGCUUCGGUUGUGUGUUAUAGCCUUCGUCGAUACUGCCAGCCUAGACUGAGGACUGCGGUUUAUACCUAGGA
rnacentral:rRNA from 1 species